rnacentral:lncRNA from 1 species
UUAAAGGCAGUCCCCACCCCCACCUCCACCUCGGGUCCUGAAUCCCUUGACAUGCUUCUCAAACCAGAGCAGAUGUUUUUCAGAGCAAAAAACUGUGUAGUAGUUCCAGAUUACAAAGUACAUUAGGGAGUUCUGUUUCUCUGGAAACCUUCAGUGAGGUCACACAUGUUCGUAUUAUUCCUUGAAAUGUGCAGUAAACUCCCACGUCGCCCUCUCUCUUUCUCUCUCUGUAGGGGGACUUUGGGGUUAUGGGCCUGUCUGGUUGUAGAGGAGACGAGGGGGCAGAGGGGGAGCCAGGUCCUCUGGGGCAGAAAGGAGAUGAAGGAUCUUAUGGAUUACCUGGACAAAAGGGAGAGAUGGGAACACCUGGGGAGCCAGGGGUUCCUGGAGUGUCUGGAGCCAACGGAGCCAAGGGGGAGCCUGGACCAAUCGGAGGACCUGGAAAUAAGGGUGACCAAGGAGACGAAGUAAAGUUGUGCCAGUUGUGAUAAACGCCCAAAUGUAUCGGUGUAUUUUUUUAUAGUUGAAUGGAAAAAUGAUGCCAUAACCAAUAACAUUUGGACAAUGACCUCAGGCACCUGUCCACCUUUCUGUGUUUUACAGGGGGACUUUGGACCGUCUGGAGCGCCAGGCACAGAGGUUUGGAACUCAGCUAGUUCUAGAAUCAAUACAACAUCCGGACCAGGACGAACACUGUCCACAUAAUCUGACACAGGAAGACACAUAUCUUACUAGAUCACUGAACAUCAGGGUACCCCAACUGAUGGCGCAUGGGCCGAAUUUGGCCCGGGGGUGGUUUUAUUUGACCCCCCAAUUUUCUAAAAAAUAAGUGACAUCUUAUUAUGUUUUUAUUGUUGGACAACAGGAAAUCAGCUCCAAGGGAAUUUAAGAAAUCUGUUCCCAAGUAUUCACACGCAUAAUAGAGAGAAACGUGAUUGAAUACAAAUGUAAGCAGGGCUUCUUGAGGUCAAUUUGCUUUCUAUUUGUAACUAUGCUCCGGUCCACCCGACAAUCUGCUCAAGAAAUCUAGUUGAUGAUCCCUGCUCUACAUUGACUAAAUGGCUGAAUUAAAUAGUUGUAUCACUGUAAAAGAAAACACAUUAGUAUAUAAUGAAUCAAAAAAGUUGGUUUAGCUUUUGUAAACCCUUUAUUUGAUGUUUACAUUAUGGUAAAAUGGCCUUGUUGACCGAUGGGAAGUUGCCGUUUAGCUGAACAAUGCUGUUCACAUCCAAGCUGGUGACCUCUCUCUCUCUGUAACGACGUGUGCUGAGAGUCAGGAAGCAAGUUCAGGGAGUGAGUGUUUUAAUAAAUAAAUACAACUAAAUACAAAACAAGAAACACAAACAGCACACAGACAUGAAAUAGAAACAAUGAUGCCCGGGGAAGGAACCAAAGGGAGUGACAUAUAUAGGGCAGGUAAUAAAGGAAGUGAUGGAGUCCAGAUGAGUCUGACGAUGCGCAGGUGCGCGUAAUGGUGACAGGUGUGCGCCUUAACGAGCAGCCUGGUGACCUAGAGGCCGGAGAGGGAGCACACAUGACACUCUCUCUCCCUCUCUCUUCCUAUUUGUCUCUCUUAAGGGUGUAGGGGGAGAGAGGGGACUAAGAGGUGCUCCAGGAAUAAGAGGUGGUCAAGGGGAGACGGGUGACACAGGCUCUGCUGGAGCACAGGGUCAUGAAGGUCAGGCUGGAGACGUGGGUUCACAGGUGAGUGUCCCUCGGUCCUCUAUUACUCUGUGUGAUCACUUGUUCUUUCUUAUAUGGUUCCACCAACACCUUCUUGGGGAACAGGCUAGCUCUCUCAUGGGCUGUUGCUAAAUAUAGGUUGAUGUUUUACCUCCAGUCAUUGUCGCACCCCCUCUCUUCAUUUAUUCCCCCUGAAAGGGUCUGAGUGGAGUGUCUGGGCUCAAAGGAGAGCCGGGAGCCUACAGAGGAGAACCGGGACCUUACAGGCCUGUGGUACGAUGGCCAGUCAUUUAAUGAUUUUGAUGAUGACACAGCUGUACCAUGUGGUAACACAUGCAAACUACAAUGCAUAUUUUGACCAGGGUCUCUCCCCCCAGGAUGUUAAGGGCUCCAGGGGGCCUCCAGGAGCACCGGGAGAUGCAGGGCCCAUUGGGAAAAGGGUGAGUGUAUUGAAGAGCUUAUCUGAUUUAUCAUGAGGCUAAUAAUACACAAUAUUAUCUUGAUUCUCUCUUCAGGGUGAUGAUGGAACUAGUAAAGGAAUUAAAUUACUCUAUGUUUUAAUAUCCAAUUAAAAUUAAACACUCUGUCCAUUCAUAAGGACUUGUAAGACCCUUAUUCUAUAAUAAUAGACAGAGCCCAGUCUUAAAGUCAUACAGCAGAGUUUAUUCACGAGAGUACUGAACACGAUACAGGUUACCACAGGUUAUAAACUGAAAAUGACGUCAUUAGUUCCAGCACCAACCCGUGCCAUCUCCGUUCCAGUACAAAGGCUGUAUCUCAAGCCUUCCCACAUCCGUCUCCCUACCAAUUUAAUAUAAUUUACGAGUCAAGGUUUUCUCGUGUAGAUAAGCAUUCUAGCCAGUCUGAUUCAUUUGUACCAAGGAACAGACAGUCAUUGUUCUAACUCUUGACCACAUUCACACACAUUAUAUUCAGUACUGGGAUCAAGAAAGAAAACUCAUACAUUUACAGCAACAUAAUAAUAUUCGGAUUAGUACAUAUACAGUAACAUAAUAGUAUUCUGAUUAGUCAGUCCUGAUUGUAAUGUAUACAUAAUUAGUCAUCAUUGAUAAAAAUUCCCUUAACAGGAACACAAGGAGAAGGCCAACCUGGAUAUCCAGGGUUCCAGGUCUGUAUUUCUUCAGCAGUGAAAUUCUGAGCAAUAAGUAGGCAUUCAUGUUUUGAUUCUUAGUUACAAGUAUGAUUUAUCAACAUUGUCUGGACAAAAUGUCCAUGGACCUCAUUUGCCUAUUUCAGAUUUUUCUUUCAUCUUCUUACAGGGAUACCCUGGUCUGAGAGGACCUGCAGGUUUAAAGGUCUGUCUGUCUGUCUGUCUGUCUCUGUCUGUCUGGAUAUCAUGGUCUGAGAGGACCUGCAGGUUUAAAGGUCUGUCUGUCUGUCUGUCUGGAUACCCUGGUCUGAGAGGACCUGCAGGUUUAAAGCUCUGUCUGUCUGUCUGUCUGUCAGGAUACCCUGGUCUGAGAGGACCUGCAGGUUUAAAGGUCUGUCUGUCUGUCUCUGUCUCUGUCUCUGUCUCUGUCUCUGUCUCUGUGUCUGUCCAUUCCACUGUUACGUCCAGAAAAAUAAAGAUAUGAACCGGUUUAGCUCAGUAGAUUACUUUGUCAAUAAGUGCGGAUAGAGCAGGCAAACUAGUUGUUUACAUACGUGAUGGACAGACAAGUGUAGCCUAUGGUGACUGAAAUUUUGCAGGGGCGAGAGAAGGUUGAGGAGGAGGCUUGAAGCGCUGGGCAUCUUGUUAUGACAUGCGUUAUCUGAAUUAGGUCCACAGAAUUAUAUCUAGGAAGAGGAGCUUCUAUGGAGGAACUUUGAAUGUCCUUUGAGCUAACAAGCUUGUGUGUGCAGAGCGGCAGCUGAAUUAAAAACACGUUUCCUUUUUGUAGUUAACAUAUCCAAUGUGAAAUGUGAUAACUCGGCCUAUAGAAUCCUUAACUAGUAUUGUAAAAGUUAAUUAUUCUCCAGCUAAUUAAAUCUCUCUCCCUAUCUUCUGAAUCAUGCUUGUAAUGUCAGUACUGCUUUAGAGGGGGAGGGGCUACAGUAAC